rnacentral:rRNA from 1 species
UGGGGAAUUGUUCGCAAUGGGCGCAAGCCUGACGACGCAACGCCGCGUGGAGGACGAAGGCUUUCGGGUCGUAAACUCCUGUCGUGCGGGACGAAUGCUUGGAGGGUGAAUACCCUUCCAGGGUGACGGUACCGCGAAAGGAAGCCCCGGCUAACUCCGUGCCAGCAGCCGCGGUAAUACGGGGGGGGCAAGCGUUGUUCGGAAUUACUGGGCGUAAAGGGCUCGUAGGCGGCCGCUUAAGUCAGACGUGAAAUCCCUCGGCUCAACCGGGGCACUGCGUCUGAGACUGAAUGGCUGGAAUCCGGGAGAGGGAUGCGGAAUUCCAGGUGUAGCGGUGAAAUGCGUAGAUAUCUGGAGGAACACCGGUGGCGAAGGCGGCAUCCUGGACCGGUAUUGACGCUGAGGAGCGAAAGCCAGGGGAGCAAACGG